AUGAACCAGAAGUAUCCAGAGGCACGGAAAUGGCUGUACAGAGAGAUCCCAGAACAUUAUAGGUGGAUUGCCGGUAAUAAGAAGUGGCAACCGAGAAAAAAUAAUAGACCACAGAUUGGAAGACUGGUGUAUGCACACCCUGCUGAAGGAGAGAGGUACUACUUGCGAGUGCUGCUCAGCCAUGUCCAAGGUGCCACUUCAUUUGAUGAUUUAAAAAUAGUGAAUGGCAAUCCAUGCUUCAGAGAGGCGUGUGAGCACUUAGGACUCAUUGAGCAUGACAGGACACUUGAUGAUUGCAUGACAGAGGCAGCAACAUUUCAGAUGCCUUCUGCUCUUAGACGGUUGUUUGCAACUAUAUUGGUAUUCUGUGAGGCAACAGAAAUCCGUCAGUUGUGGGACAAACACCUAGCAUCGAUGUCUGAAGAUUACCGCCGUACUCAAUCGAAUGAGGCUGCACUUGAGCAAAUGGUCCUUAGGGAUAUCAGGGAUCUAAUGCAAUCCAUGGGGAAGGAUAUUAAAAUGUAUGGGCUUCUGGAUUUGGUUGACACAGAUGGUUCUUCAGACGCCGAGUAUAGGGAGGUAACAGAGGAGAGGCAAGUCAAAGCAGAUCAAGAACAUCUAGAUCUAUUCAACUGCCUAAACAAUGAGCAACUGGCUGGUUUCAAUGACAUAAUGGAUCAUGUGACGAACCAAAAAGCCAGUCCGGGUUCAAAAUUCCAAUCAAGCUCAGUGACAACAGCAUGUGUAGUUUCACAAAGUAGAGUGGUACGGCAGAGUUGCUUAAACAGUCAUCCUUGA
rnacentral:rRNA from 1 species